AGAGUUUGAUCCUGGCUCAGGACGAACGCUGGCGGCGUGCUUAACACAUGCAAGUCUACGAGAAAAAGGUAGCAAUAUCUUGAUUAAAGUGGCGCACGGGUGAGUAACACGUAAGCAAUCUACCUUUAGGUUUGGAAUAACUCCGAGAAAUCGGGGCUAAUACCGAAUGAUGCAGCGGCACUACAUGGUGAUGUUGUUAAAGUUCAUGUAACGCCUAUAGAGGAGCUUGCGUCUGAUUAGCUAGUUGGUGAGGUAACGGCCCACCAAGGCAACGAUCAGUAGCUGGUCUGAGAGGAUGAUCAGCCACACUGGAACUGAGACACGGUCCAGACUCCUACGGGAGGCAGCAGUGAGGAAUAUUGGGCAAUGCCCGAAAGGGUGACCCAGCAACGCCGCGUGGAGGAUGAAUGUCGUAAGAUUGUAAACUCCUGUUAGAGGGGAAGAACAGUCCCGAUCAUAUCGGGAUCUGACUGUACCCUCAGAGAAAGCCCCGGCUAACUACGUGCCAGCAGCCGCGGUAAUACC
rnacentral:rRNA from 1 species